rnacentral:rRNA from 1 species
UACGAAGGGGGCUAGCGUUGCUCGGAUUCACUGGGUGUAAAGCGCGCGUAGGUGGCCCCAUAAGUCCGCUGUGAAAGUCAAAGGCUCAACCUUUGAAAGCCGGUGGAUACUGUGGGACUAGAGUACGGAAGAGGCGAGUGGAAUUCCUGGUGUAGCGGUGGAAUGCGCAGAUAUCAGGAGGAACACCAAUAGCGAAGGCAGCUCGCUGGGACGUUACUGACACUGAGGCGCGAAAGCGUGGGGAGCGAACAGG